rnacentral:lncRNA from 1 species
CGCACUCAUCUGCGCAACAUGAUUAUUGUGCCUGAGAUGAUUGGUAGUAUCAUUGGAGUGUACAAUGGCAAGACCUUCAAUCAGGUUGAAAUCAAACCUGAAAUGAUUGGCCAUUAUCUCGCUGAGUUUUCAAUUUCAUACAAACCUGUGAAGCAUGGUAGACCUGGUAUUGGUGCUACUCACUCGUCUAGGUUCAUUCCUCUCAAGUGAAAACAUAUAUGCCUUAGUAAUUUCUUGCGGCCUGUGGGAUUUUGUUUGUUAUUUAAGUGUUUUAUUUUCGGUUCCUUAUUGUAUGGUUAAUCAGGACUUGAUUCCAUAGAUCAAACAUUUUAGUGUUUCUUUUAUU